GUUUCGGUCACGUUUAAAUUAUUAUUGCAGUUCGAUGGAAAUCCUAUAACGAACCGCACAGUACACGUAGACGCCACAACAACAGCAACAACCGCCGUACCGCCCGCUCGCCAUCGUUCGGCCAACAAACCGCUAUGGCGGAGACGAACGGCACACACACAUAAAACAUGAUGUUUAUAUUAUAAUAUUACAGUGUAUUAUUUUUGGAGCCUGGCGUGGCACGGUGGUUGGCCGCAGUCGCUAACGAGUUCUGAAGUCAAGCGUCUGCCGCUAGCUCCCGGAUGGGUGACCGCCCGGGUUUUCAGCGACGGAUCGUCGCCCUGUAUACACGUAUUCCGAACCAACCAUACUCCCCACAGCGAAAACAGUGAAAUUCGUCUGCACAUGGUUCCUUAAGCCGACGACAUUCGCCGCCACGUCCAUCGUCGGUGUAGCUGCUUAAACACAAAAUACGAUGUUCGAUAAUUGGAGAUUGGUGUGGAGUGGUGGUCGGCCGAAGUCACUAUAAUGUAUUGUUGCAGUCAAGCAUAAUCGUCCAGCGUUACCAUCUCCCAGAUGGGUGACCAGUGACCACCUGGGUUUUCAAUGAUUGAUCCUCGCAUCACCUAUGCGUGUUACUGAGCCAACCGUAAACCCCUUUAAAAAUUAUAAUGAGUUAUGACCAUAGUUGCUUAAGAUGAAUAAUAAUUUAAAAAAAUAUGUUAACAUUCGAUGAUCAGGCAAUUUAUUGAAUUCGGUUUUCAGACUACACACAUCACGGAAUCACGAGUACAACUUUAGUUUUGCGAGUAUUUGUUGUGAUAAGAACAAUAAUAAUAUAUGUAAAUUACUAUGUUGAAUUCAAUAGCCGCGGACUUUGCGCUCUGCUGUGACUAUGUCUAUAAACAGUAAAUACCAACCCACCGUAUAUUAUUGUGUAUAAUAUCGUCAUAUUGUAUUAUAUUAUUGUUGGUGUAUAGUGUUAACAGGGAGGAGGCUAGAGAGGGUGCGGUCGUAAUUAAAUUCUCUCGAGCAAUGCAACGUAGGUAGUUGUUUACGACAAUAAUAAUAUAUUAUAUGUAUUAUAUUAUUACAGCGAUUCACAGAGCAGAGAUUUUCUAGAGUUAUAUAUAUAUAUAUAUAUAUAGUAUUAAGCGAGAGUAUAUUGUUGUUAUUAUUAUUAUUAUUAUUAUGGUUUGUAAAAUCAUAUCAGCUCCUGAGUUCCCAUUACAGCCGUUCUCCCGAGUGCCAACCCCGUUCUUAAUCCGAAUACUAUAAUAUAAUAAUAGGAUUUGAUGAGCUUCAUUAUUGUCGUAUAAACAUAAUAAUAUUAUAUAAGUUUAUGUAUCAUGUAUUCAUGUGUACCCGACGUCGUUCGCCCAGAAUAUCAUGUGGGCCCGGAUCCUCUUACUGGCAAGUGUAAACCCACAUCGAAGAAUUGCUAGUUUUGAGUACCUAAUAAUGAUCAAAUAACUUAAAUAUUAAAUAUUUAUUCAUUUGGAUUUUAUCUUUGUCACAAUAUUAUUACCAAACAUAUAGACAUAUAAUAUUUGAUAGCAUUUUAUGUAUGAAAACGUUGCAUAAUCUGUAAUUGUCGAUGUUAUACCUAACAAUGAUCUCAAUUAUUAAAUUUGAAAAUUUAUUUUUUU